AGCCGGGGCCAGGGCGCUGGGUCGCGGUCCUUGUCGUCGGAUCCCCCGGCCACACAGUUUCACUCAAAUGCAGCCGCGGCCUGGGAGCGUCGUGUUGAUAGAACUGCACCGGCUUCCUCCUCAGACAUGCUGACUAACUCGGGGCCUUGCGGUCUGCGACCACGGGGCAGAACAAGGCAAUCGAUGCACAAAUACAGAUUGAAAAGGCUCAUUUCGAUCCUGCCUGUGUUGUCGCAGUGUCGUGUCGGCCUAUUGUGUGUUCAAACGAUUACGCACACCUACCUCGGAGCUUAAACAUGAAGGCACUUUAUGCAAGAAGGUAUAAAAUAGGCCUUGAUGAAGGAAGAACAAAAAAAUAUUAAAUUACGGCUCUGGAAUAAGUUGUCUGAAACCCGGCACUUUGCGAUUGGCUCAUGUAUUUUAGAAGCCAGACACACACAGACACCCAUAAAGCUCUUUUAUUCUUUUCUUGUGUAUAUUUAAAAGCCGCAAGGCCGUGCUUCUGUGCCCCUCCAGCACCCUGACUGCGAUAGGCCAGUAAUUUGGGAGCCAGGUCAACACGUGGGCUUGUACUGUAAUGAGAAAUACAGCUCGGUUUCAUGGGAAAAUUAAGCUGAUGUUUUCAGAGAAAGCUAUUUGUAUUUUUCAUAACUAGGAAACGUCAAAUUAAAUCGUUUAAAAAUAGCCAUUUGUGAUCCUGAGUCAAGAAUACAUAUAACAUACAUUACACACACACACAAUUGGAUUGGUUACAGAUGUGUAAUCAAUUGUUUCGUAAAACAUUUGCUGGAAUCUCAUUAUGUCAAGACCCAACGAAGAUGCUAAAGACAAAGAUCCCUCCAUUUAGAAUUCAUCUUCAAAAGGGGCA